rnacentral:rRNA from 1 species
CCUAUGUCGGAUUAGCUAGUUGGUGAGGUAAUGGCUCACCAAGGCAGCGAUCCGUAGCUGGUCUGAGAGGAUGAUCAGCCACAUCGGGACUGAGACACGGCCCGAACUCCUACGGGAGGCAGCAGUGGGGAAUAUUGGACAAUGGGGGCAACCCUGAUCCAGCCAUGCCGCGUGUGUGAAGAAGGCCCUCGGGUUGUAAAGCACUUUCAGCGAGGAAGAACGCCUAGUGGUUAAUACCCAUUAGGAAAGACAUCACUCGCAGAAGAAGCACCGGCUAACUCCGUGCCAGCAGCCGCGGUAAUACGGAGGGUGCAAGCGUUAAUCGGAAUUACUGGGCGUAAAGCGCGCGUAGGUGGCUUGAUAAGCCGGUUGUGAAAGCCCCGGGCUCAACCCGGGAACGGCAUCCGGAACUGUCAGGCUAGAGUGCAGGAGAGGAAGGUAGAAUUCCCGGUGUAGCGGUGAAAUGCGUAGAGAUCGGGAGGAAUACCAGUGGCGAAGGCGGCCUUCUGGACUGACACUGACACUGAGGUGCGAAAGCGUGGGUAGCAAACAGGAUUAGAUACCCUGGUAGUCCACGCCGUAAACGAUGUCGACCAGCCGUUGGGUGCCUAGCGCACUUUGUGGCGAAGUUAACGCGAUAAGUCGACCGCCUGGGGAGUACGGCCGCAAGGUUAAAACUCAAAUGAAUUGACGGGGGCCCGCACAAGCGGUGGAGCAUGUGGUUUAAUUCGAUGCAACGCGAAGAACCUUACCUACCCUUGACAUCGACAGAAGCCGAGAGAGAUCUUGGUGUGCCUUCGGGAACUGUCAGACAGGUGCUGCAUGGCUGUCGUCAGCUCGUGUUGUGAAAUGUUGGGUUAAGUCCCGUAACGAGCGCAACCCUUGUCCUUAUUUGCCAGCACGUAAUGGUGGGAACUCUAAGGAGACUGCCGGUGACAAACCGGAGGAAGGUGGGGACGACGUCAAGUCAUCAUGGCCCUUACGGGUAGGGCUACACACGUGCUACAAUGGCCGGUACAAAGGGCAGCGAGCUCGCGAGAGUCAGCGAAUCCCUUAAAGCCGGUCUCAGUCCGGAUCGGAGUCUGCAACUCGACUCCGUGAAGUCGGAAUCGCUAGUAAUCGUGAA